rnacentral:rRNA from 1 species
AUUGAACGCUGGCGGCGUGCUUAACACAUGCAAGUCGAACGAAGUGGCGAACGGGUGAGUAAUACGUGGGUAACUGCCCUCCUUUUUGGGAUAACGGUCGGAAACGGCUGCUAAUACUGGAUAGUGGGGGAUGACUCGCGUCCUAUCAGCUUGUUGGUGGGGUAGUGGCCUACCAAGGCGACGACGGGUAGCCGGCCUGAGAGGGCGACCGGCCACAUUGGGCUGAGAUACGGCCCAAACUCCUACGGGAGGCAGCAGUGGGGAAUAUUGCACAAUGGGGGAAACCCUGAUGCAGCAACGCGCGUGCGGGAUGACGGCCUUCGGGUUGUAAACCGCUUUCAGCCAUGACGCGGUAGUGGCAGAAGAAGCACCGGCUAACUACGUGCCAGCAGCCGCGGUAAUAC